AGUACAGAAUUUGUUUUGCACACAUAGAAGCAGCUACAAACAACGCUACGGUGCAGGUCUUUCAAUGUAGUUAUUUCUUGUCACGCUUCAGCCUUGGAAAAAUAUUUGUUUGACCCGGGUGGUAAAUAUAACGAUCCAGUCCACCUGAAAAACUGGAGACCCCUUACACUUCAGUCUUGUUGUAAGGGAUUUCCUCCUCUUCCGAAGGAGAGGCGAAAAGGAUCAGAGGACCAAUAUGCGGCGUGGACUGGUGGAGUUAUGUCACACAUGCAGCUAACAGAAAUAUAUGGAAAUGUCUGCUCUACCCAACAUUACAACCAACUGAUUGCAGCAUUACCUCAAAAAUGGAGGAAGCAAGUGGAAGGGUGAGAAGGUAAGAAACUUGUCUGUCCACCCUGCAAACUGGUGUACAUUAAAAGUACACCCGUUUAAUUUAAGGACCAUGAAAAUUGACAGCUGUACCAUAACGGUUGAAAGCUGUACCAUAAAGGUUGAACGCUGUGCCAUAAUGGUUGAACGCUGCACAAUAAUGGUUGAAAGCUGUGCCAUACAGGUUGAAAGCUGUACCAUAAAGGUUGAAAGCUGCGCCAUACAGGUUGAAAGCUGCACUAUAAAGGUUGAAAUCUGCGCCGUACAGGUUGCAAGCUGUGCCGUACAGGUUGAAAGCUGUACCAUAAAGGUUGAAAGCUGUACCAUAAAAGUUCAAAGCUGUGCCGUACAUGUUGAAAGCUGUGCCAUAUAGGUUGACAGCUGCACCCUACAGGUUGACAGCUGUACU